rnacentral:tRNA from 1 species
GGGAGCUUGGCUCAGUUGGAAGAGCGCAGGUCUCAUAUGAAAUUGUCAACAAAAGACAAGAGAAAUAUGAUCUGAUUGUGCAACAUCAGAGUUAUCCUGAGGUCGUGAGUUCGAGCCUCACAGUUCCCA